GAAAUGCGAUAAGUAAUGUGAAUUGCAGAAUUCAGUGAAUCAUCGAAUCUUUGAACGCACAUUGCGCCCCCUGGUAUUCCGGGGGGCAUGCCUGUUCGAGCGUCAUUUCACCACUCAAGCCUCGCUUGGUAUUGGGCAACGCGGUCCGCCGCGUGCCUCAAAUCGACCGGCUGGGUCUUCUGUCCCCUAAGCGUUGUGGAAACUAUUCGCUAAAGGGUGCUCGGGAGGCUACGCCGUAAAACAACCCCAUUUCUAAGGUUGACCUCGGAUCAGGUAGGGAUACCCGCUGAACUUAAG
rnacentral:misc_RNA from 1 species